UGGAAACUCCACAUAAACUUCUGUGUGAGCUUCGUCCAUAUCAAAAGCAGGCACUUCAUUGGAUGACCCAAUUGGAGAAAGGAAAUUGCACUGAUGAGGCAGCAACAAUGCUUCACCCAUGUUGGGAAGCGUACUAUUUAGCAGACAAGAGGGAACUUGUUGUCUACCUGAAUUCUUUUACUGGUGAUGCUACAAUACACUUUCCUAGCACCCUUCAAAUGGCAAGAGGAGGA